rnacentral:rRNA from 1 species
GACGAACGCUGGCGGCGUGCCUAAUACAUGCAAGUCGAGCGCUGAAGGUUGGUACUUGUGCCGUCUGGAUGAGCAGCGAACGGGUGAGUAACGCGUGGGGAAUCUGCCUUUGAGCGGGGGACAACAUUUGGAAACGAAUGCUAAUACCGCAUAAAAACUUUAAACACAAGUUUUAAGUUUGAAAGAUGCAAUUGCGUCACUCAAAGAUGAUCCCGCGUUGUAUUAGCUAGUUGGUGAGGUAAAGGCUCACCAAGGCGAUGAUAUGUAGCCGACCGGAGAGGGUGGUCGGCCACCUUGAGACGGAGACCCGGCCCAAACGCCUUCAGGAGGGAGCAGUAGGGAAACGUCGGGCAGGGGCGGAAGACUGACCGAGAAACGCCGAGGGAGGGAGGAGGGAUGUCGGGUCGUAAAACUCGGUUGGUAGAGAAGAACGUUGGUGAGAGUGGAAAGCUCAGCGAGUGACGGUAACUACUCAGAAAGGGACGGCUAACUACGUG